AUUCCCUUUCCUGUGCAGAUGAAUAAUAAUACUGCCCCGGUUUGCACACCGGGAAUCCAGGAGAGUUCAUGUAC
rfam:Mangrovibacter sp. MFB070 Contig-022, whole genome shotgun sequence.